rnacentral:lncRNA from 1 species
CCGACAAUUCCAUAUUAUGAGCCUCAUUUUUGUAGGCGGGAUUGGUCAAGCAAUCCCGCGUGUUCAUCAUCAGAAUCCAUAUCUUCAUCACCCACCUUGUGCAUUGUGACUUUUGUUUUUUGCACAAAUUGGUCUCCUUUGCUUCCAAAUCUGUACCCUGCCUUUUUAGGUUGACUGGGCUACCUGAGAAUUCAUCAAGUAUUUUCAUUUCAUGCAUGGGGAUCCUUUUGAAAGUACCCUUUCCUUUUUUGUACUUUUUUCAGAUUUUAGUUAUUGGUCUCUCUCAACUGGUAAAUCUUCCUAGCAUCCUUUGUGCAUUAUAUUCAGUUGCUCAGCACCCUACGCCAUUUCCACUCUACCUUCACCUGCAUCAAUUCUACUCAAAUUAAGCUCCAUAUUAUCUAUUUCCAUAUCCUUCUUAUCCAACUCCACUAACUCUUGGACUGA